CCUACGGGUGGCAGCAGUGAGGAAUAUUGGUCAAUGGACGAGAGUCUGAACCAGCCAAGUAGCGUGAAGGAUGACUGCCCUAUGGGUUGUAAACUUCUUUUAUAUGGGAAUAAAAUGUUCCACGUGUGGGAUUUUGUAUGUACCAUAUGAAUAAGGAUCGGCUAACUCCGUGCCAGCAGCCGCGGUAAUACGGAGGAUCCGAGCGUUAUCCGGAUUUAUUGGGUUUAAAGGGAGCGUAGGUGGAUUGUUAAGUCAGUUGUGAAAGUUUGCGGCUCAACCGUAAAAGUGCAGUUGAAACUGGCAGUCUUGAGUACAGUAGAGGUGGGCGGAAUUCGUGGUGUAGCGGUGAAAUGCUUAGAUAUCACGAAGAACUCCGAUUGCGAAGGCAGUUCACUGGACUGCAACUGACACUGAGGCUCGAAAGUGUGGGUAUCAAACAGGAUUAGAUACCCGAGUAGUC
rnacentral:rRNA from 1 species